rnacentral:rRNA from 1 species
CUUCCGAUGGCGACCGGCGCACGGGUGAGUAACACGUAUCCAACCUGCCGAUAACUCGGGGGUAGCCUUUCGAAAGAAAGAUUAAUAUCCGAUAGGAUAUCAAGAUCGCAUGAUCUUGAUAUUAAAGAAUUUCGGUUAUCGAUGGGGAUGCGUUCCAUUAGUUAGUUGGCGGGGUAACGGCCCACCAAGACGACGAUGGAUAGGGGUUCUGAGAGGAAGGUCCCCCACAUUGGAACUGAGACACGGUCCAAACUCCUACGGAAGGCAGCAG